rnacentral:misc_RNA from 1 species
AAAAAGUUUUACUAUAAAUCAAGCUCCUAUUCUGAAAGGAUAGACAACUGAAACACAAUGCAUGCCUGGGGGUUUCAAAAUACUCUUCAAGAUAAACGUCAGGCCCCAGGUCCUCCGGAUAUCAAUGAUUUGCAUUGCAACGGAGCUAGAUGUUUUAGUUGUUGCCACGGAACUAGCACUUUCCCGAGGCAGCAUCACCUAGUAGUCCUGAUUGUUUGGGCAGUCA